UACGAAGGGGGCUAGCGUUGUUCGGAAUUACUGGGCGUAAAGCGCACGUAGGCGGACUAUUAAGUCAGGGGUGAAAUCCCGGGGCUCAACCCCGGAACUGCCUUUGAUACUGGUAGUCUCGAGUCCGGAAGAGGUGAGUGGAAUUCCUGGUGUAGCGGUGAAAUGCGCAGAUAUCAGGAAGAACACCAAUGGCGAAGGCAGCUCUCUGGGACGGUACUGACACUGAGACGCGAAAGCAUGGGGAGCGAACAGG
rnacentral:rRNA from 1 species